GCCUGGGUGGCUCAGUGGUUGAGCAUCUGUCUUUGGCUCAGGACAUGAUCCUGGGGUCUUGGGAUCGAGUCCCACAUUAGGCU
rnacentral:tRNA from 1 species